UACGUAGGGUGCAAGCGUUAAUCGGAAUUACUGGGCGUAAAGCGUGCGUAGUCGGUUAUUUAAGUCGGGCGUGAAAGCCCCGGGCUCAACCUGGGAAUUGCGUUCGAUACUGGAUAGCUAGAGUUCGGCAGAGGGAAGCGGAAUUUCGGGUGUAGCGGUGAAAUGCGUAGAUAUCCGAAGGAACAUCAGUGGCGAAAGCGGCUUCCUGGACCAGAACUGACGAUCAGGCACGAAAGCGUGGGGAGCAAACAGG
rnacentral:rRNA from 1 species